rnacentral:lncRNA from 1 species
UCAAACAGACUGGCAUUCCUGUCCAACCAUAUGUGGUAGGCCAGGUAUGCCCGCCGAAUCCCGACCUCACGAGAACUAGGGCACCUCGCGGAUACCCUCAGCAGAUGAAUUAGAUCCUGUGCAGACUCCACCGGGUGAGGCAACAACCCUGGGGACCUACUCCAUAUUGCCCUUGGGACACCUCAAGAGGACAUGAUCAAUCGUCUCCUUUGUAUCCGCACACACCUCACAACACUGAGUGAUCCACACACCACGCCAAGCUAACAGACUCCUGGUCGGAAGACAACCCCACGCCACCUUUCAGACGAAGAGGGCGACCCAUGGGUGUAUCCGCAUCCUUCAGAUCCAACCUCUCUCAAUCUGCCAAGCCGGCUCCCUACUAAUCAAGGCCUGAAGAUCCCUGGCUUGCACCCGUGACCGCCUUGUAGGCACCCAAACAAGCCUGUCUGGCUCCUCCUGGGCAGGGAUUGGUGUCGCCAGGACCAACUCCGCUAACUCCCUCCCAAAAGCCUCCCAAAUCAGACCCUCUCUCCAAUAGCCCCCACCGUGAUCCAACAGAUCGCUGACCCUGUGUCCAGCUAGCCUCUUCGUGUCCACCGUGGUCGGCAACCGACUAAUCGGUUACUCAGUGACCCAGCUAUCCUCCAAGACAUCAAUCGACCGCUCAUCACCAACAGCCCAUCUAAUCUCUAGAAGCACCAGUGCGACUCUGGCACACAUCUCCCUCCAAACCGGUGAUCGAUGACGACCGUCAUGAGUGCCAGGUAGUAGACUGCCAUACUUGGCCCUCAUCAAGGAAGACCACAUACUGUCAGGCUUCAGCACAAAUCUGGCAGUAUGUCAGGCCGCUAGGGCCUCCCGUCUCGACAUCAAAAACUGGACCCCCAAACCUCCAUGCAUAGUCGGU